ACAAGGAAAAAUAUCGUUUUUUUAUUUAUUUAUUUUUGCUUUCGAAACCACCCAUUCAAUUAAUUAAAAUAUAAUAUAGCGUAAAAGUAAGAAAUGUGUUUUCAAAUGUGUUUGAAUAACAUUUUUGCGUGCCUCUAAACUGGCCGGCCUUCUGAGACCUACCCUACAAGAGCUACCCCUAAUGAGAAUGCAUCAUCCUUUGUUCCAAGAUCAGCGAGAGCCCUUCCGGUGCUGAUAGGGCUUCGCAGUGUGAGUCAUGUCCAUUUGUAAAUUGGAUUUAGGAGGUCCAUAGGCCUUUGACCCAAAAGUUAUUAGCGAAAAUAAUUAUAGAGUUAACCAGGACACUGAAUUAAAAAAUUGAACGACGAGCACUCAAAGGCCACACCCUGGUGCAAAAAGCAGGCGUGCGCGCACACCACCAGUCUCUCUCUCUCUCCCUCUCUCCUCCAUAACGCUGAGCCCUCCCUCCUCCUGCACACUCACCGCCUGGCUCGCUUCACGUGUGGACGCUCUCCCUCAGCUCUGUGGAAAUCACCGGUAAGGCCUGAUUUAUCUGCCUUGUUUUCUACAUUUCUCUCUCGCUCCUUCUCUCUCUGUCUCUGUCUCUCUCUCUCCCUGUGCAGAUAUAUAUAUAUACAAUAUAUAUAUAUGUAUAGUAUGCCUUUCUCUCAAGCUAUCUGUUUGUCAGUCUGUCUACCUCUCCCUCCAUUUCUGUGUGAUUAUCUUCCCCU
rnacentral:lncRNA from 1 species